UUUUUGUGGGGGAGGAUUGUAUUUUUCUUUCUUUUUUCUCUUUUUUGUAUUGUGGAGUAUCAAACCCAGGCUAGGCACACUCCAAGCCCUCUUCUAAACAUUUCUGGUAUUUGAAUUGAUUAUUAUGUAAAAAAAAAACCUUAAAAAUGCCCAUAACUUUGGACCUUGUAAUAUCUGCCUCCAUGCAAGAAUAGCACAUUAUACAUAUACAUAUACAUAUACAUAUACAUAUAUUCACAUGUAAACAUUUGAAUAAUAAAAUCAAGGGGAAAAAUAAUGAAACCUAGGAGGAAAGUUUGGUGAAAUGGAUCGUAUUGUGCAUACAAUCUACUGUUAUUUACAUAUCCACAUGAAGGAUUAAUUAGCAUGAAAUCGGUUCAUAUAAAUGCCUCAGCUGUGGGGGGGGGAGCCCCACAAGUUAUUUUUAUAUGAGAAAAAUAGCAAAGCAAUCAAAAACCUUAGAAAAGUACUUAUUACUUCUGAUUUGUGAACCAGAUUCUUGCCUUCUCACUUCUGCUGCCCACAUAAAAUGUUUGCUUCCAACUAAACUUGCCUAAUGACCUUCUCCAGUGUCAUAAAAUGAAAGCUUCAUUGUAUUUAAUCAGGAACAAGGCCACCUAGAGGCAGCCGAAAUAGCUCAGUUGGGAGAGUGUUAGACUGAAGAUCUAAAGGUCCCUGGUUCAAUCCCGGGUUUCGGCAGUGGCUUCAGCACAACUUGUGCUAUUACUUUUGAACUUCAGGCAAGUGUGAAAAUGAGGGCUGUCCACAGCGGCUGUGGGGAAAUUUGGACAGUCUUCGUUUCUGUGGUGCUAGAUUUAACUAGACUGUGCACUUUCAUCUGCUACAUCCAAAUCCCCCACCCGGCAUCAUCCUGUCCUCUUCCAGCCUUGCAGCCCUUCUACCUUUGCCCCAGAAGCUUUGCAGUUCAUGCUCCAAAGGACAGACAGACAGGCCCUACGACUAUUUCAGGUUCUCAAACCCUGCAGUUUGCAACUGUAUUUGCUUCCAUCACCAAUUUGUCUAUCACUGGGAAGGGACAACGAGCCUAGAGGCACAGAUUCCUGGGGAACACCUAGGGCACAGGUACCCACCUGUCCCCAGGAACUGGACACUCCUCCUCGGGGCUCAGGCAGAGGAGGGAGCAGCAAGCUGGAGGCUCCAUACUGGAUCCUGAUUUUCGAGCUAACAGCUGGGCAUGGGACCCAUGCUUAUAAUUCCAGCAGUUGGAAAGCUGAAGCAGGAGAUUGCCAAAAAUUCAAGGCCAAUCGAGAACUACAUAAUGAGUUUAGGGCCACAUUGAACUAUCCAGUGAGUUCCUGUCUCAAACUAAAAAUAGAAAAAAACCCCAACUAAACACAGCAAGACAGCUUCGUGACAAUGGGCCUCCUUCUGAGGGAGGAAAUGCAAUGGGGCAGCGCACUUUCCGGCAGCUCUCUGUUCAUCCAGUUGCAGAUCUCUGGUCACCUGCUAAGCUGCCAGUGGAUGAGGGGCUCUGUCCUCCGAGUGCUUCGGCUCUUGGGAGACUGAUGCACUCUAUUAGGAAUCCUUUGGAAGAUCCAAGCAUUAUCAGAAGGAAGGGCACCGAGAUGGCAGCCUCAAAAGUUGGGCAGAGUGAGCUCUGAAUAAAUUGUCAAAUCGGGACUGGUCAUUUUAUUGGCCAGUGUCAUUAAACUGCAGCAACCAGUGGCUCGCUCUGGCAGAUCUUGUGAAAGUAUUCAUCGUUAGAGGCAGGAUUAGCAUUCCCCUCGGUGGGCUUUGAGAAGCCUGGUUGUACCUCAUCCACUUACUGGAGGCCCCCAAGAGCAAAGAUUUCAGCUGACAAGGAAGGGGUUCUUAGAACUGAUGGAAAACCCGCCCAGUAAUUUGAGUAACUGAAUGAAUCUGGAGCGCUCCAACUGCAUCAGGUGGAUCCGUCCAUUGAUAGAUUCAAGGCUCAGCAGGCUCCUUGGGAAACAGUCGGGCUGGGUGGGGUGGGUGCUAGGUGGAGGUUGGUUAUCUUUGGAGCGUUUAUCUUGACCCCUUCCCAGCUUUCAGCGCAUCUUCUGCUCCUUCUCUGGCUCCACUGUGUCCAGCUCCUGGCCGCCCUAAGGUAUAGCUUUCCACUAUGAAGGAAUUGGCUGGGGCCAUCGUGAUCCAUGAACCCUGACACCCACCUGCACCGGGCCUCAGGACAUCAUUGGCUCACUCCUUGCGCUUCCCCAGCCUCCUCCUUGGGCAGCCACGACCUCUGGGCUCUCGCAAGCCAGGUGCAGCAGGGAGCCUCGAGCACCCCUCACCGAAGUCCCCUGCCCACGACCCUGAGAAAGAUGCCACCGCUCUGGGGGGAGCUGCCGCUCUGGCCUCAGUGCCAGCCCGGUCCUUCAGGUUUGUUUUGCAGCAAAUCUGCCCGGCGGAGCCCAAACCUGUUUCUUUUUCCUUCCCCUCUCUCCCAUGCCCUUCCGUCACCGGGUUUCUGGGUGUGCGGAAACACCUGAAACCAUGACCCAAGUAAAUACUUUCUUCUUUCUUCCUUAGACGCAGACAGGCACCUGUAAUGACAUCAUUUCGGUUUCCCUAGGGUGCUCCAACCAGGGCGCCGGCUGCACCUUGCAGCUCUCCUUGCCAAGGGCGGGCAGAUGCUUCAGUCUCAGCGUACGCCCGGGGAAGGGGAGGGCAAGCCCGGCUCCACUGCCCCAGCCGAUCACCCACAUGGGCCGCGCUCCCGGGAGACCCAGGCCUCUGUCCCGGGGGCAGCGCCUGGGUUCACGAGGACAGCAGGCCUGGGGCCGAGUCAGCGUCGCCGUCCCGGGGAACCAGGACGUUUUUCUUCGCGUUACCAUGGGAACCGCGCUCCCAACCCCGCCCCUUUGGGAGUUUCCGGGAUCACCCCGCACCCCAGCUGCGUGUGAUUUUCUUUUAUUACAGAAGUCUCCGCUGAGAGCUCAGAACCGUAGCGAGAACGUUGGUUCUCCUUUGCAGGUGAUGAAGCCGGCAGGGAGGUGACAACCCAUGUAGCCGCGGAAUCACCCCAGCCCAGGAGACAGCGCGGCACCAGCCGAUCCAGUUGGGAACUGAUGAGGGGUGCGAUUGUCCUUAACAGUGGCCUCUGACCUGCGCGCCUACGGCUGAGACUGUUCCCUUCUCCGCUCGCGGCUGUGCGGAGCGCGAGCCCCAGCGCACCAGGGGCUCCGCAUCCGCAGCACUACGUGGGUCGUGCCCUGUCUCUGCAGGGUGCUGCUACGGCCCGGCCCGCUGCGCGACUCGAUGUUUCGGAACCAAGUGGGUAGGGGCAGAUUCACAAUCAGCCUAGAAUGCUGCUGCGGGUUCACGUCCUUAGAGUGCUUUUCAGGAGCUGAGACAAGACUUGAUAGUGUGAGCCCGGAUAGCUCAGUCGGUAGAGCAUCAGACUUUUAAUCUGAGGGUCCAGGGUUCAAGUCCCUGUUCGGGCGCACCUAAAUUUUUAUAGUAAUUUUUACAAAAUGAGAAACUGGCUUUAGGAUACGCGUGUGCUGCCGAGUGUUCAGGUUCUCGGUGAGGUCUACUCAUCCCGGGGCCGCGGCCAGCUGAGCUUCUUUUCAGUCUCUGGGGCUCCAGAGCUCUCCCGCCUCCUCCCACUGUCUAAGCCUAGCUGCCUCGGGAGGAACGGAUAAUAGCAGCAGCAGCCGACCACUCACAAGCCUGGACGAUUGGGAUGAUAACGCACGCGUUCAGUAUUAAAGUGAUCAUUAUUAUCAUUAUGAAGAA